UACGAAGGGGGCUAGCGUUGCUCGGAAUCACUGGGCGUAAAGCGCACGUAGGCGGCUUCUUAAGUCAGGGGUGAAAUCCUGGAGCUCAACUCCAGAACUGCCUUUGAUACUGGGUAGCUUGAGUCCGGGAGAGGUGAGUGGAACUGCGAGUGUAGAGGUGAAAUUCGUAGAUAUUCGCAAGAACACCAGUGGCGAAGGCGGCUCACUGGCCCGGUACUGACGCUGAGGUGCGAAAGCGUGGGGAGCAAACAGG
rnacentral:rRNA from 1 species